rnacentral:rRNA from 1 species
AAGGGUGCGUAGGCGGGUAGGUAAGUCAGUGGUGAAAUCCUGGAGCUCAACUCCAGAACUGCCAUUGAUACUAUCUAUCUUGAAUAUUGUGGAGGUAAGCGGAAUAUGUCAUGUAGCGGUGAAAUGCUUAGAUAUGACAUAGAACACCCAUUGCGAAGGCAGCUUACUACGCAUAUAUUGACGCUGAGGCACGAAAGCGUGGGGAUCAAACAGGAUUAGAUACCCCUUGU